UACUAUUAUUUUUAGUUUCUGAUAGACCAGGGGACUCCGUAAACCUUAGGACCUUAUUGUGAUCUGGCUGGUUCUAAAUUUAUAUGGAUUCAUCAGUUUCCAUGGAAUGAUUAUUUUAAGGAAUCCCCCUGUUUCACUCCAACGAUUACUUUAUGAUGGCAAUUCUCUUGCUUGUAACAUAAAGUGGUAGCUAUAUGCCAUAUCAGAAUGGCCUCCUCCAGAUUCCCAUGCGACUCCAAGACCUUCAGGAUUUCAGCAUGGAGUACCGCAUGCAAAAACGAUUUUGCAAAACAACAUCAUAUGCUCUUGCUGGCAUAUGAUUAUGGACAGAAUCUGGUAUAUUUCCUUCCUGUUGACUCUAGAGAUAUAACAUAUUAUCUUUCUGAGGUUAUUGAUCUGUUGUCUUACUUUUCUAAGCCUUUUUUUACUUGAAAAUUGAAACCUUAACUUUUCUUGAGUUCUAGCUUCUUUUUAUGGGACGUGGUUAAGUUAUAAUAUGUUAAUAAGGUCCCCAUUAUUGUUAUAUUAGUUACUUGAACUCUAUAUGUUUAAAGUCUGGGCUAUUUCCUUGCUGGUUGACUCUAGAGAUAUAGCAUAUUAUCAUUCUGAGGUUAUUGAUCUGUUGUUUUACUUUUCUAAGCCUUUUUUACUUAAAAAUUGAAACCUAACUUUUCUUAGAGUUCUAGCUUCCUUUUAUGGGACGUGAUUCAGUUGUAAUAUGUUAAUAAGGUCCAGGCUAUUGCUAUAUUAGUUACUUGAACUCCAUAUGUUUAAGGUCUGGGCUAUUGCUAUAUUAGUUAUUUAAACUCUAUAUGAUUAUGGUUUGGGCCACUGUGUUUAUUCAAGUGAGUUUGUUGUCUUCUUAAUAAAAGAUUAAAUAUGAACCCUUUUCGGGGUGCACUGUUUUGAUUCACUUUUUCUUCAUUACGUCCUUGGUUAGAAGAAUUAACCAUUUCAUACUUAGAUGAUUGUGUGUGAGGAUGCUUUGAGCAUGUUUGUCUAUUCUAGAUGCUUUUGAUUUCUAGAUGCUCAUUGAUUUUGAUGUGUUGUUUUGUGUGUGAUUUUCACAAGUUACUAUAUAUGUUUGUGUUUCUUGUUGGUACAUAAAUGAUCUGGUAUCACAAGAUAAACAUUCUUAAACAUGCAAAUUAUGUGUGGAUACUGGCUAAUCUUGUGGGUACAUAAAUGAUCUAGUAUCACAAGAUAAACAAUCUUAAACAUGCAAAUUAUGUGUGCAUACUGGCUAUAUAUGUUUGUGUUUCUUGUUGGUGCAUAAAUGAUCAACACAAGAUUAAUAUUCUUAAACAUGCAAUGUGUGCAUUCUGGCAAAUUGUUGGUACAUAAACGAUCUGGCUAUAUAUGUUUGUGUUUCUUGCUGGUGGAUAAAUGAUCUGGUAACAAAAGAUUAACAGUCUUAAACAUGCAAAUUAUGUGUGCAUACUAGCUAAUCUUGUUGGUACAUAAAUGAUCUGGUAUCACAAGAUAAACAUUCUUAAACAUGCAAAUUAUGUGUGCAUACUAGCUAUACUCUGUAUAUCGCGAGGAGAUUUGGGAUCCAUGCGUGGUUGCAGAUGUAUUUGAUGACAUUCAUUUCAUCAUCCACAAUAUUCUUCACUUAGCAUAGUUUCCUUUUGUUUUCAAGGAAAUUGUCAAGAUAGGGCUCCAUUAUAGAGUGUCUUACCUUUAGAAGUCUACUAGCUACACAUAUGCAAAUGCCAUUGUCUAUUUCUAUCUGGAUAACAUUUUGACUCCCACCUCCUCACCACUUCAUUGAACAGGCUACAAAAGUUUUCAGCAUUUUAAUUUCAUUAGAAACAUCAAUUGACUUCAAAAAGACAUGUUAUCCUCCUAAAGGCACUAGAGAGUUAACGAGUGCCUCAUUUCAAAUGUCCAUCCACUUGUUAGAUGCUUUGCUGCAGUCUUUCCUUUUCCUAGUCAUUCCUUUAGGGUGUCUUACCUUUAGAAGUCUACUAGCUACAAUAUGCAAAUGCCAUUGUCUAUUUCUAUCUGGAUAACAUUUUGACUCCCACCUCCAUCACCAUCUCAUUGAACAAGCUACAAAAGUUUUCAGCAUUUUUAUUUGAUUAGAAACAUCAGUUGACUUCAAAAAGACAUAUUAUCCUCCUAAAGGCACUAGAGAGUUAACGAGUGCCUCAUUUCAACCAUCCAUCCACCUGUUAGAUGAUUUGCUGCAGUUUACAAAGCUUGAACAAGUUGAAAACUUGCAUAAAGUUCUAAAUGUCAUAGGUAUUCUGUUGUUAUUCCUUUUGCAAUGAUUGUGCUAUUUUAAAAUUGCAGAGACUCUAGAGAUACAGUGCAGAAAAGUGUUAUCUAGGUCUAAAUGUACAGUGUUUAAUAAAAUACUUCUUUUUUAU